rnacentral:rRNA from 1 species
AGUUAACGCUAGCGGUGCGCCUAACACAUGCAAGUCGAGCGAGAGUAUUUGAAAGCUUGCUUUCAGAUACAAAAGCGGCGAACGGGUGAGUAACACGUUGGUAUCUGCCCCCCAGUCAGGGAUAGCCCAGGGAAACCUGGAUUAAUACCGGAUAGUCUCUUCGGAGUAAAGAUUUAUCGCUGGGGGAGGAGCCUGCGUCCUAUCAGCUUGUUGGUAGUGUAAUAGACUACCAAGGCUAUGACGGGUAGCUGGGUCUGAGAGGAUGACCAGCCACAAUGGAACUGAGACACGGUCCAUACUCCUACGGGAGCAGCAGUGAGGAAUCUUCCACAAUGGACGAGAGUCUGAUGGAGCGACACCGCGUGAAGGAUGAAGGUCUAACGACUGUAAACUUCUUUUCUGAGGGAGCAUAAUGAGAGUACCUNAGGAAUAAGGGACGGCUAAUCACGUGCCAGCAGUCCG